UACGUAGGGUGCAAGCGUUAAUCGGAAUUACUGGGCGUAAAGCGUGCGCAGGCGGUUUUGUAAGUCUGUCGUGAAAUCCCCGGGCUCAACCUGGGAAUGGCGCUUGUGACUGCAAAGCUGGAGUGCGGCAGAGGGGGAUGGAAUUCCGCGUGUAGCAGUGAAAUGCGUAGAUAUGCGGAGGAACACCGAUGGCGAAGGCAAUCCCCUGGGCCUGCACUGACGCUCAUGCACGAAAGCGUGGGGAGCAAACAGG
rnacentral:rRNA from 1 species